UUGAAAUUUCGUUUUUUAGCCAGUGCCCUGAUUGGUGAACUGACCCAAGUGAGAAAGGUAAGGACAUAGGUGACAUCGUCAGAUGACGCAUUACAAUUGUAUCUGAUCCAGUGCUUCCUAAACCUGUGUUGCUGUCUGAAAAAUGCACAUUCAUGUACCCGUGCGUCUGGGGCAGUGGUUCUCACCCUUCCUAACCCUGCAGCUCUCUAUUCCAGCUCCUCAGGUUGUGGGGACUCCCAAGCAUAAAGUUACUUUGUUGUUACUUCAUAGCUGUAACUUUGCUACUGUUAUAAGUGGUGAUGCAAACAUCUGUUAUGCAGGAUAUCUGAUAUGUGACCUCUGUGGAAGGGCCAUUCAACCCAAAGGAGUCAUGAUCCUCAGGUUGAGAACCGCUGUCCUAGUGUGACUAGACAGCCAGUCCCGACAGGUGUGUACUAUGGGCAAACAGGACAAAAUGAGAACUGUCAUGGGUUUUUAAGUCACCACAAUUGUGUUUUGUUAUUGUUGUCUCUUUUUGACACUAAGGCCAGAGUGUUUCUGGGACGGUGGCUGCUUAAUCAACCAAGCCCUGGAAGGAGGAACGACCAGAAGAGAGCCCUGACUCAGGCUGGAAUUGAAUAAGACCACUGAGGUGUUGGGAUUGCAUGCUGUUACUACAGCAUAAUCCACCCAGCCCUGAUUAAUAGCCCUGAACGAGCCCAGAUCUCCAGAAUUCCCUUGUGGUCUAAGCUGAGGGGUUUCCCUAAAUGCCAUUCCUGCCCAUGCUUUAGAUGGUGUGCUGGGUUUGGGAAGUCUUCUGCCUUUCAUGUGGAUCUGAGGACCAGUUCUGAGCUGCCUCAUACGGGAGACUGCAGUGAGCUGAAUGGUACCCUUCAGAAAGGCCUGGACUGUUACAUUGCUGGGGGGUUGACGGGGUCUUUGUAAAUGUAGUUAACUUAAGGCCGUGAAGCAGAAGAUCAGCCUGAAUUAGCAAUGUGGGCCUUAGUGGCCCAGUGGCAGGUGUACUUUUAAGUGUGAAGCAGGGAGGCCAGGGUUUAACUUAAUGGUGGAACAGUUGUUAAGUUUGUUUUUUAAGUUCCAACAUUGCUUAAUAAACAAGGUACUGAAAAUGAAGAUAGCUAAUGGGGUUAAGAUAAGAGUGGUAUGGAUCAAGUAGGAAGACAACUAAGGAAGAUAGUGGAGCCAGCACCGUGUGUAUGGAGGGAAAAGGGGGGGGCGCAGAGCCAAGCCUCUCAUCCCUGCCAGUGAUGUGUUGGGUGUUUCUGGAGUCACCUGAGCACCCCACUCUCUACCGCCCUCCAGCGGCCAGAUGUCUAAGGAUGACCCAGUCAACACCAGGAGCAUGGGAAAGCAGCUCUCUAGGAAGGUACAGCGCCCCAUGGGGCACCACAGAGCCUCACAAUAGCGCCCCCUGGUGGUCAUAGAUGGACAGAAAGCAACAGGGGUGAAAAGCGGGGUUUUUUACCUGGAACUGGGGAGGCUCUCAUUCUGAGGACGUGCAGCAGAACAAGGGCAAACUGUCAGGACAGAGUGUGGCCUGUGUAGCAGCAGCCAGUGGGAAGCCCUCUGGGGUCAAGCAAUGGUGUUAAAUAUUGGACGGUGAUGCUGCCAGUCCUCCUGGAGCAAAGCCUUCACAGCGUGGGACCUGGACUGGAGCAAGCAGGACUGGUGGUAGGGAACACAGGCCUUGCCUGAACUGUAGCAGUGGGAAGGGGAGGACACACCCACUCUGUGGUUUGUUCUUUCUUCAUAACUAUCAGUUAUGCUGGGACCAUGAGACUGUGCCCUGGUCCCAGGCUGCCCCUUGCGAACCACGUGGGAAGAAGCUACUGACCUGCCCAAGUAAUACUACCCCAAAUCUUGAUGGUCAUUUGCAGAGAUCUGGGAUGACCUGGACAGUGUUACACUGAGUUUACAGCAUCCUGCGAGAGACCUGAGGAAUGCAGCAAGCCAGGGAUUUGCCCUGAGAUGACCUAUGCCAUCCACUCACCCAACCACAGUGCUCUCUCUCCCCACACCUGCAGGAGGUGCCAGGGUACCAGCCAGGAUGGAGGUCAGGGGUAAAGGAUGAUGGACUGGCUGGGAAGACUGUCCUUCACACUGACAGUUGACAAACCCAGAAAGCAUGUGUGUUAGCAGAAAUAGGAGGCAGACCAUGAUGUGUCUCACUUAAGGGCACUGUGCAGCCAGGAGACCCUUUGACUUCGGGGGUGGAGGGAGUGUUUGCAAUUUCACCUUGCUGUCUGAGGUGUGGAGUCCUCGAUGCUCUAGGAUACCGUCAUGGUGGGAAGACCUAUGGGUGAGGCAGGAGGCAGCUCGCAGCAGAAUGACACGUCCCCUUUUUUGUUCAGUCUAGGACCUCAACCCAUGGAAGGUGCCACCCAAAUUCAGGAUCUCUUCGGUCCACUCUUAACUCUGGAGAUACCUCCAUAGACACACCCAAAGGGUCAUCUCCUAGGUGAUUCUAAAUCUAGCAAAGCUGACAAUACAAACUCACCUUGGUCACCUUGAUACCAAACACUUCUUUACAUCUGAGCAGCUUCUUGCUAGUUUGCACUCUGGGCCUUAAACUGCAUCCAUCAUAAUUACCAAGGACUAGCCAGGCAUGGUGGUGUAUGUCUUUUAUCCCAGAACCCAGGAAGCAGAGGGAGGCAGAUCUUCAAGUUCAAGGCUAGCUUGGUCUACAGAGUGAGUUCCAGGGCAUCCAGGGCUACAUAGAAAAACCUUGUCUUGAAAAACAAAACCAAAUAACAACAACAAAAACCCGCUAAGGACUAAUACUAUUCUGUAUGGUAAUGCUAUUAUCAGUACCUUUUGUUGUUGGGAUAAAAAGGACCACAAGGGCAACUUAUAGAAGGAAGGGUUGUUUAAGCAUAUGAUCCUGGAGGGCUGGAGUCCAUCCUGGCAGGGAGCGGUGGCAGAAGCAGCAGACAUGGCAGCAGGAUCAGGAAGUGGAGAAAUCGCAUCUUCAACAGUAACUACAAAGCAAGAAGAGCACACUGCGAGUGAGGUUAGAAACUCCCAACACCCACUCUCUCUCACUAAUGGACAUCCACCAGAAAGCCUACAGGUUCCAGAGCCUCCCCAAACAGUCAAGCAACUGGGGACCAAGCAUCUAAAUACCUGAGCCUAUGGAGGACAUUUCUCCCUCAGACCACCACAUUCCACAUACAUACCACAUACCACACACACACUAAUACAUGCAUGCAUGCACAUGCACACACAAAGGCACACACACACAUACAUGACCACAUUAACAGUUACAAUAAGGAAUAUACUGGGUAGUUCAUUUAUUAUAACUCUUCCUUAGGAAUAAAGCCAGAAUGCUAGAAUGUGUGACAUCCUCAUUGGUCGUUAUGUGGAACCAGCUAUCCACAGACUCUCAGGGAUGGUGUGGUAAAUCCUGAGGCUCUGAGCAAAGGGUCUUCUCAUAUUUGGUUGAGACUCGUUUAGCCUUUAAGACACCUUCAGGGCUGGUGAGAUGGCUCAGUGGGUAAGAGUACCCGACUACUCUUCCAAAGGUCCAGUGUUCAAGUCCCAGCAACCACAUGGUGGCUCACAACCAUCCGUAACAAGAUCUGACGUCCUCUUCUGGUGUGUCUGAAGACAGCUACAGUGUACUUACAUAUAAUAAAUAAAUAAAUCUUAAAAAAAAAAAAAAAAGACACCUUCAGGGGCCAGGGAGCACAAGAAGGGAGGCCGCUGACUCUGUGCUGACUGCCAUCCUAGGGACCUAGAGUCGCAGUAUCCCAGGCAUCAGGUAAUAUCAAGACCAGACUUGGGCAGUGUCCAGCAGUAUGACAGGCCAGGGGCAGGCAGGUGGCACUAUGUAUGUACAGGAAACAUCUUGGCAAGCUGGAACAGUGUCUGUGGUGGUGCAGGUCUGUAAUCCCAGCACUCCAUAACCAGAGGCCAGCUCGAGCUACAUAGUAGCUUUGAAACCAGCCUGGCUACACAGUGAGUAGCAAAAAGCCAGAAAACUAGAGGCUGGGGAGCUGGCUUGUCAGCCAGAACCAUCUCGCUCUUGAAGAGGACAGAUCCAUUCCCAGCACCCAUGGCAGGUGGCUCACAGCCAACUGUAACCAGUUUUCUAGGGUGUCUGAUGCUCCUGGCUUCUGCAAUCACCUGCACACAUGUGCACAUACCCCUACACAUACACAUAAUUAAAGAAAUAAUAAGUCAGCCAGGUAUAGUGGCCCAUGUUUUUAAUCCUAGCACUCAGGAGCAGAGGUAGGCAGAUCUCUGUGAGUUUGAGGCCAGCCUGGUCUACAUAGUGAGUUCCAGGACAGAACAGUCUAAUGAUCUUCUUCUUCCUCUUCCUCUUCCUCAUCCUCUUCCUUCCCUCCCCCUCCUCUCCUCCUCCCCCUCCUCUCCUCCUCUUCCUCAUCCUCUUCCUCCCCUCCCCCUCCUCUCCUCCUCCCCCUCCUCUCCUCCUCUUCCUCCUCCCCCUCCUCUCCUCCUCCUCCUCCUCUUUUUCCUCCUCCUCCUCCUCUUCCUCUUCCUCCUCCUUUUACUUCUUCAUCCUUUUUUUAUAAAGGCCAACACUAAAGAAAUUAAUAAAUAAAAAGUGUCUGCUAGGGGCAGUUCUUCCUUUUUAUAGUUCUUAAAUGACCAAGAUUUUUUACAUUACAAAAAGCUUUCUGCUUAUAAUUAGACCAAAUGAUCAUGUUAUUCCACCACAGGGAAACCAGGUUUGGCCCUACACCCAGCAGCUGCUGCUACUAUAGGGGCCUUUGGCCUCAUGAGACCAGAGCCCCUUUCCCCAUGCUAAUCUCACAAGAUUGCAUCCAGCCCUCUCAGCUCAGGCCUGUUUCUGGCAACCACAUCUGCCCUCCCUUGUCCUUCCAGGGUUUUCCAGAAAUUCUUUGCCACUGUUCCUUGGCAGGAGACUACGGCAUCACAUGGCCAGUGACUGGUGCCUUCUGACUCACGGAAUGGAAAGAAACCACACAGAGAAGCACACAGGGCCUCUGUUGCCAGCCAGGGUGACCACAUGGAACGGGAGGUGAUUCAUCUGAGCCUGCCUGGCAUUGGCACUCGAAUACACUUGCCUGGAGCUGGGCAGUCAGCCCUUAAGUGAUGCGUGGGGUAUCCCCCUCCCAGGGCAGAGCAGCCCCUCCUAGGAGGAAUAAGUGGCUCUCUGCCUCUGUCCCAAGUGGCUGACAGAUGACCAAGGAGGUUGUAGGACAGCUCUGGGGACAGAGGUAAUUAGAUCAAGAAUCAGGGUUGGGGACUUCAGAGAAGAGGUAGACAGGUGGAAGCUGAGUGUGGCUGGGGUCCUUUGCUCCAAAUUCUUCAUCACACCUGGUGUCUCCAACACAGAGGAGACACAGCUCACCAUUCCAGAAGGAAUAUAAUCAGUUGCUCACAUAGUCCUUUUCAAGGCCAAGUGCAGAGGGGGCAGGGCACCAAGGGCAAGCGCAACUCUACGUCAUUCCCCACUGGGCACCAUAUGACAGUCCCAUUUUAUGUAUGAGGAAAUUUUAACCAGAAAUAUAAAGCAGGUUGCCGCAGGUGACUGCCACCAGUGACAACUCUAACCACGUUGUGUGGUCCAGCUCUGCUGUGAGCUGCUGAUGGAUACAACAUCCCAUGCAAGCUCCACAUUUCCCUUCACAUACAUGGUCUGACAUCAUCCUCAGAGCAGCACUGUAGGGAGGAUGUUAGUGUUCACACAAAAUGAGAUCAGAAAGAACAGCAAGGCACAGGGUGUGUGAUGGACAGGGUGUGUGAUGGACAGGGUGUGUGAUGGACAGGGUGUGUGGACAGGGUGUGUGAUGGACAGGGUGUGUGAUGGUUUGUAUAUUCUUGGGCCAGGGAGUGGCACCAUUUGGAGGUGUGGCCUUGUUGGAAUAGGUGUGACCUGGUUGGAGUAGGUGUGUCACUGUGGGUACGGGCUUAAGACUCUCACUCUAGUUGCCUGGAAGUCAGUCUUCCACUAGCAGCCUUUGGAUGAAGAUGUAGAACUCUCAGCUCUGCCUGGACCAUGCCAGCCUGGAUACUGCCCUGCUCCCACCUUGAUGAUGAUGGACUGAACCCCUGAACUUGUAAGCCAGUCCCAAUUAAAUGUUUUUUUAUAAGACUUGCCUUGGUCAU
rnacentral:lncRNA from 1 species